UAUAUCCGAUCUGAAAAAGGAGAAAUACAAAUGGAAAGUGAGCAUCCAGGAUUUAAAAAAAUCAGUUUCCCUGAGACAUGUAUAAAAGAGGCUAAACUACCAGACCCCCUUGCUGCAGCGUCCAAUUGUCCAGAUGAAUACACAAUCAAUAAA